GGUUCUAUAGUAAAAAAAUAACGUUAGAUUGCAAAUUUAAAGAUGUGUAUAAAAGGCACUGGAACUU
rnacentral:tRNA from 1 species